UCACAGAGGUGAUAACAGUUUGUGUUCAGGAUGAUUUGUAUUAAGGUGUCCUCCUUUUGAAUGAGGAUUUUAGGUUUCAUCUCAUUGUGGAUAUCACUUACAGUCUAUGGAGUUGAUGAAAACUGCUAACAUGUCAUAUGAAAAGUCUUGGAGAAGAAAACCUUUGAGCACUGUAACAUUUCUGAUAAUCAUGAUGAAUGUCUUCAGUGUUCUUAGCUUCA